rnacentral:rRNA from 2 species
AACGACUCUCGGCAACGGAUAUCCCGGCUCUCGCAUCGAUGAAGAACGUAGCGAAAUGCGAUACUUGGUGUGAAUUGCAGAAUCCCGUGAACCAUCGAGUUUUUGAACGCAAGUUGCGCCCGAUGCCAUUAGGCUGAGGGCACGUCUGCCUGGGUGUCACGU